rnacentral:lncRNA from 1 species
UACUUGUACUUUUAUUCUUAUCAUUUGUAUUUCAAAACAUCAAAGCAUGUAAAUAUGAUCAUUUCAACUUUUGACAAAUUGCACAACAAAUGCAAAAUUCAAUUUCAAAAUUUUCUGAGUUAGAAAUUUUUUUUUUCAAAAUGUCACUUGUAAUAAGUGAAAAUACAUUAGGAAAAUGCAUACCUUAACAUCAAAUAAUGUAUCCAAUUCUUACUGAACCUGUUGCAGCUUUAUUCUAAAAACAUGAAUUUACACUACAAUCUCAUAUUACCCAAAAAUUUACAUAAGAUGGGUAGCUGAUUGAGGUGCUCCUUUAUUGCAGAAAGUUAUGGAAUACAAGUUACAAGGUAGAAGCCGAUCAGUACCAUGUCAGCAAAUUUUGUUCACGUGAAUAUCACGUGAGAUUCACCUCAAACGAGCUUAUACGUGAUAACGUGAAAAAAAUUUCACGUGAAUUUCACGUGAAUCUGAUGUGAAAUUCACGUUGAACUGAUCUUUUGUGAAAUUGUUUAUUUUUUCUGAGAAGAUUUUUUUUGAAAUUCACUUAAAGUUUUAUAUUCUGAACCAAUAGUAUCAGUUUAUCAAGAAAAGGUUUUGAAUUCUGAUACAAAAAUGUAUGCAUCUGUCGAAAUGCUUGACAUUGGGUAGAAAUUAAACUGACACAAUUCCAAACAUUUUUUUUGGAAAAACUACUUUGUGUUAUUAUGUGAAAUAAAUGGAGAAUGCAUACAACGUUAUAAAGGGACAAAACUUAAGCAAUAUUUUGUGUACCGGUAAACUGAAGUAAGAUAACUAAACCAAUUUAAGGAUGUAUGCACAGACAAGGGUAAACAGAUCAGCAGAUAUGAAACUUUUUACAUUAUAACCAUCAAAUUUCAAUACAAGUGUCACUCAACUGCAUUAAAAAACACUAAAUUAUUACUUCUUUAAAAAAUGGAUGUCCUGUUGGACCAGGUCACAUCAUUAGUGUAAUAGAUACAUAACAAAAUAAAUCUGGUUCUAUAAAAAUUAGCCAAUAAAAUCCUGUUAUUGACUACAAUAAAUAUACAAUAAAAACUACUUGCUUUCAGCACUUACUAAUACAUAAAUACAAUAAUUAUGGACUAGAUAAAAUCCUUGGUUUAUAUCAAAUGAUUAUGCAAAACUUGUAUUUAUUUUCCUAUAAACUCAUGCUCUGAUUGGCUAAAUGCAUUACACUGUGUUUAAAAAUGCCAUUGAAAAUUGAUUUGAUAAUUAAAGAUACACAAAUCUAGAUUAUACUUCGGCCACUCAAUCUGUUGACCAGUAUUCAGAUAAUGAACAUGCAAUGGUAUAUUUGAACCUGUUGUAAACAUGCAGUUAUGAAAGAUUUUUGAAUUCUAUUUGCAACAGUCAAAUUAAUUUUAAUUAUCCGAAAAAAUGUCAAAUAUUUGUAGCUUUUGUAUUACCUUAUCAAUCAGCAUUUUUCUAUUUAAGGAAUGACUGUAAUAUUUUUUCUGUUUAUGAAGAAAUAACAUAAACAAGAGGCUGUCACAACGACAGCAAACCGGAUUUAUUAACAUUUAUUUGUGUCCUGGCAAUAUCACAAGAACCAUUACUGAUGAAUGGUGAAAGUGAAAAUCGUCAAUAUCAAAUUUGACCUCCAUUUUGUCAUCAGUA